AGAAAGCUGAGGCACGGAGACCAUAAGCAAUGUUUCCAAAGUCGCACGGUUGGAGGAAGAGCAAAAUCACCUGCAAGGUUAUGAUGAAUUUUAAGAAGUUUGAAAACCACUUCUCUGAAGCAGGAGGCUUCUGUCCAGGAGGAGGACGUUGCAGAUGAGUAGGC